rnacentral:lncRNA from 1 species
UGUGAUCUAGACUGGAUGAUUGCACAUCUCUGGAAGUGCUUUGAGCCUACUGAACGUUCAAGAGUUUGUAACGUGAUCUUGUUACAUGUUGGAGAGGUACACAUUCAUCAUUAUAGAAGAUAAUUCCAGCCUGCCGUGUUCACCCUCCUGACAGAAAAUACAAAGACAAUGAUUGGGAUGUAUUCCCAGUCGACACACCAUACCAUAUGGGGAUGUCCCUAAUUUCCCAAGGCUGGAGUCAACUUCCUCCCUCCAAACUUUUACGGAGAACAAACUUUAAAAAAAAAAAAAAAAGCUACUUUAAUGUCUCGGGAGCUGAGGCCUUAAUUCCAUGGAGACAUCGAACAUUCGUUUGUUUGUUUGUUUUGUUUUGUUAUUUCUUUUACAUGACUGUGGCUGGGAAGACUUGGCUACACCUCCAUGCCUAUGUCUGGAAGCCACUUUUAUAUGAAUGUCAAAGUUUUGACAUCGGAUCUAGGUUGCCGUAUAAGAUACCCAGUUUUACGUAGUUCCAGGUGGUCUUGUACGGCAGUCAGGAGGCCAUCUGUUCUGAUGAGAUGUGGCUCGCUACAUACAGAUGAUACACUUACUUGGAGAGAAGACUGUGGUAAUUCUGAGAACAAAUAAGUGAUUUUAUUUGAUUUUAGAAAUGUGUUAAAUGACUCUGUGAGAUGUUCCCUUGUGCCAGAGGCCUUGUGUUGGUCACCACAAGAGGUGAUCUAAGUUGACAGGUAAAAAAAAAUACAUGUGACCUUCUGUAAGGUACUAUCUACCUCAGCAUC